CACCUAAGAGAUUGUUUUGAACACUAUGGAAAAAUUGAAGUGAUUGAAAUCAUGACUGACUGAAGCAGUGGCAAGAAAAGGGGCUUUGCCUUUGUAACCUUUGGGGACCAUGACUCCAUGGACAGGACUGUCAUUCAGAAAUACCACACUGUGAAUGGCCACAGCUGUGAAGUUAGGAAAGCCCUGUCAAAGCAAGAGAUGGUUAGUGCUUCAUCCAGCCAAAGAGGUCGAAGUGGUUCUGGAAACUUUGCUGGUGGUCUUAGAAGUGGUUUCAGUGGGAAUAACAACUUUGGUCGUGGAGGAAACUUCCGUGGUCGUGGGGCCUUUGGUGGCAGCCGUGGUGGUGGUGGAUAUGAUGGCAGUGGGGAUGGCUAUAAUGGAUAUGGUAACGAUUGAAGCAAUUUUGGAGGCAGUGGAAGCUACAAUGAUUUUGGCAAUUACAACAAUCAGCCUUUAAAUUUUGGACCCAUGAAGGGAGGAAACUUUGGAGGCAGAAACUCUGGCCCCUAUGGUGGUGGAGGCCAAUACUUUGCCAAACCACAUAACCAAGGUGGCUAUGGCAGUUCCAGUAGCAGCAGUAGCUAUGGCAGUAGCUGCAGAUUUUAAU
rnacentral:lncRNA from 1 species